CCUACGGGUGGCAGCAGUGGGGAAUAUUGCACAAUGGGGGAAACCCUGAUGCAGCGACGCCGCGUGAGUGAAGAAGUAUUUCGGUAUGUAAAGCUCUAUCAGCAGGGAAGAAAAUGACGGUACCUGAUUAAGAAGCCCCGGCUAAAUACGUGCCAGCAGCCGCGGUAACACGGAGGGGGCAAGCGUUAUCCGGAUGGACUGGGUGUAAUGGGAGCGUAGACGGCAGCACAAGUCUGGAGUGAAAUGCCGGGGCUUAACCCCGGAACUGCUUGGUAAACUGUGAAGCGAGAGUGCAGGAGAGGUAAGUGGAAUGCCUGGUGUAGCGGUGAAAUGCGUAGAUAUUAGGAGGAACACCAGUGGCGAAGGCGGCUUACUGGACUGUAACUGACGUUGAGGCUCGAAAGCGUGGGGAGCAAACAGGAUUAGAUACCCGAGUAGUC
rnacentral:rRNA from 1 species